rnacentral:rRNA from 1 species
UACGAGGGGAGCAAGCGUUGUUCGGAUUUACUGGGCGUAAAGGGCGCGUAGGCGGUCGUGACAAGUCACUUGUGAAAUCUCCGGGCUUAACUCGGAACGGUCAAGUGAUACUGUCGGACUAGAGUACAGAAGGGGCAACUGGAAUUCUCGGUGUAGCGGUGAAAUGCGUAGAUAUCGAGAGGAACACCUGUGGCGAAAGCGGCUCACUGGACCACAACUGACGCUGAUGCGCGAAAGCUAGGGGAGCAAACAGG